AUUUACCAAGGAGCCUUGGUGGAGUGGGAAGAAGGAUGAUGCCUUCCUCAUCAGAGGAAGCCAAUCCCAGGGGCUCCAGCCCUGCAAGUAGAUGAGGGAUCAAGGAAUUGGAUUGUCUGGAUCCAGUUUUUACCAAAAUGAUGGGCCAGAGAAAGAAGGAACCUUGGACAGUCUGAUCUAGUUAUGUUUGUAUUCCAAGGAAAAAUGAUUAAUGACCCAUUGAAGAGCCUACAAUCAUAUCUCCUUUACUCUGACUCCUCAAAGCCUAUCUAUAAAAUUUUUAAAGGAUUCGAUUUCCUCUUCAUCUUCAGAACCUCCCAGGGUCAGUCCUUCAUUCUCUCCUCCCUGGACUUUUACAGCAAAACUGUCUGCGGUGACCCCGGUGAUCUUAACCGAAUACUGUGUCAUGGACCCACUCUUCCAGUAAUAGACAUGGCUGCCAGUUACUUUACUAACACAAAGAGGGUCACAUUAUUCCCCUUCUUCCUACCUUGUAUGAAUUUCUACUUUCUUAAGGAUGAAGGGCAAACUGAUCUUCCCAGACAGAUCUCAGCGUACCUCUCUGGUUAGCAAAGUUAACUGUACUUCUUUUCUGUUUCACUUGAUACUAUGUGUCUCUGUUAUAGCUCAUAUUGCACAAAUGUUUGUUUGCCAUUCUCAUUACUGAAUCCAGAGGGCCUAGUCUUACUCAAACUAACAAGGGGCCUGGAACUCAAAGUUUAUUCUGGGUGGAAAACCUUCCAUUGACAAACCACACUUGUAAAAAUGUGGUUUCUUCAAGAAGGAAAUUUAUGUGCACUAUUGAGACAAAUGCUUUGUAACUAUCAGUGGAAUUCCAGAAUUCAGAAUUAGUCAAUAUGUUAUGGUGGAGGGCAAUAGGAUUGUAGCAUAGAAGAGUUAGUAAUAGAUUGUAAUAGAUAGCUUCCGUUCUUUUUUUUUUUUUUUUUUAAGAUUUAUUUAUUUGAGAGAGAGAGAGAAGCUCUCAUGGCCCUGAGAUCGUGACCUGAGCUGAAACCAAGAGUUGCUUAACUGACUAUACCACCCUGGUGCCUCUGGUCUUUCUUUUUUACACAUAUUAGGUAGGUGCUAUAUAAAAUUUUUGUAACUACUGAUAAUAUCAUCAGAUUAUUUUUCUGAAAAAAUGUAGUUUCUGCAAACGUGUGAACUUUUCCCCUUGAAAUCUGAAAUGUUGGAAUAAAACUGAGAAAGAAAAGUUUCAGUGGAAUUGUUUAUAUUUCAUUAAAGAUGCAUAUAUUUAGACAUAAAGAACAAAACAAAAACAAUGGUGUGUGUAGAUGACAUCUACAGUGAAGUUACCUAACCCCUAACCAUAAGGUUCUGCUGGCUCAGUUCAUCAGUUUUUCACAGAAUAGACUCAUACUUAGGAAACUGUGAUUUUGCUGCUUUCUUGUCACUGAUGGUACACACUGUAGUAAAACUAAAAUAUAUUUUUUACACAUGUAAAUACAGAAAAUACUGAAGAAUAGAAUGAAGGAAAAAAAAUGUGUCUAUGGAAAAGCACCCAGCUAACACACUGGGUUUCAAUCUGACUCAUUCUUCUAACACCUCAUGCUUUUUUUUUUUUUUUUUUUUUGAGAGAUGGAGAGUGUGGGCAUGAGGUGGAGGGGUGGGGGCGGGUGUGAGGGAUGGAGGGAGAGGCACAAUCUCAAACCGACUCCCAUGCUGUGCGCAGAGCUGAACCUAGAGCCCAACAACCUGGAGAUUGUGACCUGAGCAGAAACCAAGAGUUGGACGCCCAACUCAGUGAGCCAUCCCAAGUGACCCCUUGUUGUUGUUUUUUAAACAUACAUGUGAUCAUACUGCAUGGAUGGUUUCAUAACUGGUUCCCUCCUUCUAAUGCUACAAAAAAUAUGCCAUGAUGUUAUACACAUGACACAAGCAUUUAAGGUUGUUACCCAAAAUGCUACAGAACAUUUAUAGCUACUUUUAAGCUAUUUAGUUUCCAUGUUUAAUUUUUGCAUCCUAUAAAUAAUAUUGUGAUCUAGAGUUUAUGAAUAAAGCUUUUGCUCUAUUUCAGAUGAUUUCAUUCAGAAAGAAUCCCAGAUACGGGAUUAGGGCUUACAAGAGGAUGAACAUUUUUAUAGGUUGAAUCACAGGUGCCAAAUUGCUUUCUAAACACGUAGUUUCAGUCUACACCCCCACUCACCAUGUCUGAGAGUACCCUUUUUAUCUCACCAGCCUUGAAUGUUAUCUUUUACUUAAAUAUUUACCCAUAUGAUAGCCAAAUGAAAUGCUACAUUUUCUGGUCUGUUUGCUGUUGCAGAGUAGAGGAUAAAAUCAAGGCUUUGGAGUCAGACAGCUAGGUCUUGGUCAUUGCUCUGCCACUUCCUGGCUGUGUUACAAAAAUUACUUCUUUGAGGCUAUUCACUGAUUUAAAAAGUCAAUGUUAAUAUUGACCCCAAAUACAGGGUUAUUGCACUUAAUUAUCAAAAGAGAUGUGUGUGUAAAAGCCUGUUACCCUAGUGCCCAGCGUAUGACAAACAAUGGCCAAUCUUUUGUUUCUCAUUACAAAAGUAUGCAAAAUACAUACUUUUGCUUGACUACCGUACUACCAGGAAUUCACCUAAUACUUUGACUAUCUCUAUGCGUGCAACUUGAGGUGGAAGGCUGAACAAUUACCUGGCUAAUCCUUGCACCCUGGGGAGAGUCAGGGAGUAAUCUUUUAGUUAAGAAAAAGCACACACCUGGUUCCCAUCCUUGAGGAAUCUGCAACCUAAGACCUUUUAGCUCUAGGGGCCUUUAAUUGUUCCGAGAGGUCUCAGAGGGCAAUAGGGAAACUCACUAAAGCUCGGAGCUUAGCGAACCGAAGCCUGAGCUUAGUGAAAGUGAUCUGGGGAGGGAGUUCCUGGAAAAGCUACUGUCUCAAGGAAGGCAAGUGCUAAUGAGGCAGGAAGGAUAUGAAUUACUUGUUCUGAGUGAAGCACACUCUUGAGAUUUUGUUAUUUGAAUCUAAAAGUUCGUUCAUAAAAGGCGAGCUGCAUAAAGACAGCUGGGCCGAUCUGGUUUAGUGCCCCGCGGUCCUUACAGGUGUGGUUAUGAAGCAGGUGUUGCUUUGAAUCCCAGCAGAAGGCACGAGGGAGAGCAUGGGAGCGAGGCGUGGAUGCGCCGACACGGACCGAGAAGAAGCCGGUCCAGCCCCGGGGGGACCCGUUUGUCCAACCUUCUCUAAUUCUGCAAUAACUUAGGUUCGGCUGCUCUCUGGGGGCCCUAUUUCCAACUUUUUUCUUCUUGACCAACUCCUUCCAACUGCCUUUUUUUUUUUUUUUUUUAAAGUAGCUGGUCAUCACAACAACAAAAAAUCAUUAAAUAUGCUUGCCUAAAGGACGCAGAUUUGCACGAUCGAGGUUUUUGGUGGAAGUAUCCGAAAAAGCAAGUUUUUCCAGUUGGGUAUAAACUGCUACAAUCAUUAAAAGUCCUCUGUGGCCAACACAAAAGCGUCUACGGCGGAUCUUGUCUUCAGCUGAGCAGCCGAGGAGCAGCGCCCGGGCGGGCGGCGCGUCCCGGCGGA
rnacentral:lncRNA from 1 species